GCCAUCUCUGAAGCCAGAGUUUUACCGCCAUCAAAGCUCUGAACAAUCUCCACCAUUCUAAUCAUCGUAUCUGACGAAUUGAUGCGGGUGUUUGGGUUAGCUUAUUUUGGAAGAAUUUAUAACUUAAUGACUUAUAAAAGUGAAUAAGUUGUUUUAUAGUGUUUGGGUUAGCUUAUUUAAGUUGUUUUUGUGUGUUGAGAAGUUAGUAUAAUUUGUAACUUAGAACUUAUGACUUAUAUAAGUUAAUAAGUUGUUUCUGAGAAGGAAUCCCAAAUACUCCCGAUACAUCUGAUCAACUCUAACCUUCUGUCUAUUGUGGAACUGGAUGUAAGCUUACUUGAUUGAUGCCUGGAGUUCCUAAGCUUGCUUCUUCUUGUGAUGGUUGGGUAGAUGAUGAUUUUGUAAGCUGGACGCGCCACUUCAUAUCAUUUUGUUUCUUUGAGCUUGCAGAUUUAAUGAAAAAAAGACAAUAAUUGCGUUUGUGAUCCCGCGAAGGUAUUAUUUUGGUCAUUUUAAUUCUUGCUUUCUUUUAGUUUGUUUUAUCUCAACUGAAUGAAAGAUACUAGAAUUAUAUAACUGCAAAAAGGCACAUUGAUAGACUGUUUCUUUGAGCUUGUAGAUUUGUUGAUAGUACAUUAUCGUUCUCGAUGGGUUUAGGGUUUAGGGUUCAGUGGUCAAAGUAAAGACGUCCUUAACCGCUCACAAGGCCUUGAUUCGGACUCCAAGAGAACACAUGAAGCUGCAAUAAGAAGAUAUGAAGGUUCAACAUGAUUGAGAGACAAUAAGAAGAUAUGCAGGUUUAUCAUGGUUGAGAAAAUGGUAAGAGUUGUUGGAGCAAAGGAUUUGCACGCAAAUGCUUCGCCUUCUGAUGAAGAGUUUCGGCUUGGUUCAAGGAGGGGAUUAAAUUUAAGCAAUGUGAUUAAUAAAGUACAUCCUCAAACUGUU